rnacentral:rRNA from 1 species
GACGAAUGCUGGCUGCGUGCUUAACACAUGCAAGUCGAACGGUGAAGGAGGGCUUGCCCUCCGGAUCAGUGGCGAACGGGUGAGUAACACGUGGGCACCCUGCCCCUCACUCUGGGAUAACGCCGGGAAACCGGCGCUAAUACCGGAUACGACCAGGCGCGACAUCUCGCCUGGUGGAAAGAAUUUCGGUGAGGGAUGGGCCCGCGGCCUAUCAGCUAGUUGGUGGGGUAACGGCCCACCAAGGCGACGACGGGUAGCCGGCCUGAGAGGGCGACCGGCCACACUGGGACUGAGACACGGCCCAGACUCCUACGGGAGGCAGCAGUGGGGAAUAUUGCGCAAUGGGCGAAAGCCUGACGCAGCGACGCAGCGUGAGGGACGAAGGCCUUCGGGUUGUAAACCUCUUUCAGCGGGGACGAAGCGAAAGUGACGAUACCCGCAGAAGAAGCACCGGCUAACUACGUGCCAGCCGCCGCAGUAAGAC